rnacentral:tRNA from 2 species
AUUUAUAUAGUUUAAGAAAAACCUUACAUUUUCAUUGUAAAAUUAUAAUAUAUAUUAUAAAUA